rnacentral:rRNA from 1 species
GAUGAACGCUGGCGGCGUGCCUAAUACAUGCAAGUCGAGCGAACAGACGAGGAGCUUGCUCCUCUGACGUUAGCGGUGGACGGGUGAGUAACACGUGGAUAACCUACCUAUAAGACUGGGAUAACUUCGGGAAACCGGAGCUAAUACCGGAUAAUAUAUUGAACCGCAUGGUUCAAUAGUGAAAGACGGUUUUGCUGUCACUUAUAGAUGGAUCCGCGCCGCAUUAGCUAGUUGGUAAGGUAACGGCUUACCAAGGCAACGAUGCGUAGCCGACCUGAGAGGGUGAUCGGCCACACUGGAACUGAGACACGGUCCAGACUCCUACGGGGGGCAGCAGUAGGGAAUCUUCCGCAAUGGGCGAAAGCCUGACGGAGCAACGCCGCGUGAGUGAUGAAGGUCUUCGGAUCGUAAAACUCUGUUAUUAGGGAAGAACAAAUGUGUAAGUAACUAUGCACGUCUUGACGGUACCUAAUCAGAAAGCCACGGCUAACUACGUG